rnacentral:tRNA from 1 species
AGGGGAAUAGCUCAGUUGGUAGAGCAGCGGUCUCCAAAACCGCGUGUCGUGGGUUCGAGACCUUCUUCCCCUGCCA